AAGUCCCCCAGCAAGAGAAGACUACAUCAAGGCAAGUCAGCGCCACCUGGGCAAGAGAGGGAGGAGGAAGAAUGAGAAUUCCUUGAUGGAGAUCUCUUGGGUUUAUCCCAAAUAUUCCUGCUCACAAACCUCGGACUCAGAGUCUGCUUUGUAGAGAACCUGACCUAAGACAUAGACAGAGUUUCACUUUAUUGCCCUCGGUAGAGUGCCAUGGCAUCACACAGCUCACAGCAACCUCCGACUCCUGGGCCUAGGCGAUUCUCCUGCCUCAGCCUCCAGAGUAGCUGGGACUACAGGCGCCCGCCACACACCUGGCUAUUUUUUGGUUGCAGUUUGGCCAGGGCCGGGUUUGAACCCGCCACCCUCCGUAUAUGGGGCUGGCGCCCUGCUCACUGAGCCACAGGCGCCGCCCA